rnacentral:rRNA from 1 species
UACGAGUGGUGCAAGCGUUAUUCGGAAUCAUUGGGCGUAAAGGGCGCGUAGACGGUUUGCUAAGUCUGUUGUUAAAUCCCUCGGCUUAACUGAGGACAUGCAGCGGAAACUGGUAGACUAGAGGGUGGAAGAGAGAAGUGGAAUUCUCGGAGUAGCGGUAAAAUGCGUAGAUCUCGAGAGGAACACCGAUGGCGAAGGCAGCUUCUUGGGCCAUACCUGACGUUGAAGUGCGAAAGCGUGGGGAGCAAACAGG